AUCAAGACACGGUCAGACGGUCGUCCCAGUUAGCUCUCUCGACACUUGAGAAAUAUUUCGUCAGUUUUUUUUUUUUUUCACAAGUUUUCAAAAAUAUUUUUACUUUUUUUCCAACUAAAAAAAAAAAAUACUUUCGACUCUACCGCACGAUGAUAAUAAUUCCAACAGCUGCGCUAACGAAGAAAUCAACAAUCUUCAGUAUAUAUUUUACAAAAAAAAAAACCAAAAUAGCUUUGAACCGAAUUCCAAUGGAAAAUCAUAUUGUUAUCAACUGCUUGCGAUCCGGUUAAAUUCAGCCACAGAGAUAAUUGCUGUUACCGAGCCGUCAUCGCCAUCGUCAUCACCACCAACGGUUAUGCGCUUGGAGACGAAAAUCUCCCAAUCGACAAGAACAAGUUAAACACACAUGUUACAUAUGUUUAUGUUAAACAUAUGUAAAUGAAUGAGUAGUCGUUUCAUAUAUCUAUGCCAUACCUAAUCUAAUGGCAUGCAGUUGUGUGGAGUGGUUUUGGAACGUGUUUGUGGAUAAAGAUGGGUGGACAUUAAAAAAAAUAACGACAGACGGAGGGACGAUAACUCAAUGGUUUUGAUAGGCCAACAAGAAAUCCGUUGGAGAACUGCGAAUAGUUAUUUAAAAAAAAUAUAUCUGUCGUUUUAAUAGUAACAAAUUAACUCUACUAUUAACUUAGAACUUAAUAUUUACUUUUAAUACAUCUCUACAUAUUCAUAAGUAAAUUAUUGUACUAUACGUGUGUCACGUAUAUAAGCAUUUAAUUUUAUUUAUGAAGUACUCGUAGAAGUCUCUGUUCGUUUACUUGAGCGAUUUGAGUUCUAAGACGGCAGGAUCGCUUUUGAACCGAGCUUUCCAACUAGUUGGGAAUUUCGGCUUAGCGGCGAAAAAAAUUUUAGAACAAAUACAAUCGCUCAAGUAGGUUAAAUAAUACAUUAUUAUAUUAUGUUGUAUGUUUACGAAAAUAACAUAUAUCUUGUGCUAUACAGUUUUUUAUUCGUUUUAUUUGGAAA